ACCAUUAGACUCGUCGCUUGAAUCUUCCUUUUCAGUGGCAGCAGCAGGCACCUUAAGAAAACAACAACCUCCUCAAUAGAAGUGCUAUCAUCCUUAAAACUAUAUGCAUCACUUGACUCGUCACUAGAGUCUUCCUUUUCAAAGAGAGCAGUAGCACCUUCUUAACAACAGCAUUCUUCCUCCGUAGACCUACAAUCAUCUUCAGAACUAGAUCUAUCACUUCACACGUCUAUCUUAGAAGCUGCAGC
rnacentral:lncRNA from 1 species